UUGGACGGUUUCUAUUGUUUACUGAUUUCAAUAAAAUAUGGAAACAACACAGGAAAGUAAGUUCAAAUGCAAUUAUUAUUACAUCAUCAUUAGUAGUCGUGUUACGCGGCUUUCACUUGCACUUUUUUUCUGCGAUUAAAGUUCAUUUCACUUUGAAUAGUUUAGUUGCACGAUAUUCGAUAUUCGCUCGUUCUUAGAGAAAGUUUUAUAACGAUUAUAUGGGAUAAUUAAGGCCGCUCUUCCAGUGUCAGUGAACUUAAGCAUCCAUAAGAUUGUUUGUAAAACGUAACAUUACAUUUUUAUUUACAGAUAUUGAUCAUUGUAAUCGAAUACGUAUCUACAAAUUUCGUUCUAUAUUAGUCGUGCAUAUAUUAUUAUAAGCAUGGAUAAACGGAAGAAAUAUAUUCCAUCGUUGGACAUUAUGCAGUUUUGCGCGUUUUAUUGUAUUUGUUUACAUUAAUAUCUAAUUUAUUUGCUGAUGCUAAAAAUGCAAAGCACAUUAACCGGCUUGAAAUUGUGAAAUAACUAUGUUAAUCGUUGUUUGUUAUUCAGGAAAAGUAUUUUUGUAUAAAUUGUCCUAUUAGAGAACGUUGUAAUAUUAGGCAAGAACGGUAAAACAGUGGUGUUUUAAAUUAGGCAUAAAUUUCAAAACUCAUAUAUGUAAUAAGAAAUAUGUUAUCACACAAUAAUAAUUGGAGGAAAAUUCCCCAUAUAAGCGUCAUUAAAAAUAAAGUGAGUGCUGUAAUAUUAUUAGGUAAACAUCCAACGAAGUGAAAAAAUAAAUCGUCAAAACUUUGAAA